rnacentral:tRNA from 4 species
GCGGGUGUCGUAUAAUGGUAUUAUUACAGCCUUCCAAGCUGAAGACGUGGGUUCGAUUCCCAUCACCCGCUCCA